GAGGGUAUAGCUCAGUGGUAGAGCGUGUGCUUAGCAUGCAGGAGGUCCUGGGUUCAGUCCCCCAUACCUCCA
rnacentral:tRNA from 1 species